rnacentral:misc_RNA from 1 species
CGCACCUUGCGCUCCUUGGUAUUCCGAGGAGCAUGCCUGUUUGAGUGUCUUGAAGUCAUCAACCCCAACCGUUUCGUGCGGUCGGACGUUGGAUAUGGGGGCUCUGCUGCCGAGAGGCGGCUCCCCUCAAAUGCAUCGGUUGGGCCUGUGGGUCGAACUCGACUGGGCGUUGUACCAUCCUCGCUCGACAGAGACGUUCCCCUUCCGUGCCCCUCCACGGCUUAGCCUUCUCAGAGUGGCGGCCAAACGUAUUUGAAAUCUGACCUCAAAUCAGGUAGGACUACCCGCUGAACUUAA